GAUUGUGUUCUCUGUCUGUCAAGUAAAUAAAUAAAAUCUUAAAAAAAAAUUGGAACGAUGCAGAAAUUAGCAUGGCCCCUGCACAUGAAUGCCGCGCAAAUUCAUGAAGCAUUCCAUAUUAAA
ensembl:snRNA U6 U6 spliceosomal RNA